ACUUUCUGUGGUGUAGUUGGUAGCGCCUCGGCUUCAUAAUUGUAAGUUCUGGGUUCAAGUCCCGGUUAGGGUA